CAUCAAUACGGAGAGGAAUUUGGGGAAUCCAAAAAGUAUUGCUAAUGAGCUGCCAUCAACUGAGUGUAGGUCUGGGAAGCACACUGAUGUUGGGCAAAAAUGUCAUUCAAGAUACAAAGUUUGACUGGUAUAAUACAGGUGAGCCUGUUUUAUAGAGUAGAAUGCCCUAUUUCACAGGAAAACUGUGAAAAUGAAGGAAGGUGAAGGCAUUUCUGUUUCCAAUUAAAGUUCUGAAAAGAUACCAUGAGGAUAGUAGAUUCACAACUAAUCUAAUGAGGGGUGGUGGCUUGCAGGAAAGUCUGGGUACAGCAGGCCUCCCUGGGCGGAGUGUGUCAUGGCCUGUGUCAGAGCCAGGCUGGGAAUUUCCCUAUGGCUGGGUAUGGCCUAGAGCAGCACAGCAAAGAGCUUGGGUCAUUAAUGGAAUCGCAUCUCCUCACAGAGCUAGUGGGAGCUGUUUAGCUGUCUUUUCAGAGUCUGGAAACAUCCCGUGAAAAACAACUGUUUGUCUGUCCGGCAUCUUCUGAAGAAGACCACUUUCCUGUGUAUGCCAAACCAUCUAAGACAGUGAGGAUUUGAUGCAUCCUAAAAGAACAGAAUGUCUUGUUCAUUUACAUACAGUAAACACAUGUUUCAUCCAAACACGAUUGUGAAAUAGUUUUGAAAUCUUUCUUUCAUUGCACUUAUGAGACUGUUGGCUAGCAAGAGUCCCAGAAGGUUGAAUUGUCUCUUGUUUACACGGCAGGACCAAAUUACCAAAAAAUACCUGUCAGCAAGGUCUUGUGUCUUUUGUUUCUUGAGCACUUGAUUUCUGUUGAACUACUACUUCUAAGUAUAAGUCUCAGACACCUUCAGGAUCCAUCCAGUAUAAACUCCUGCUUUAAAGGAGGACAGCUAGUUUGGCAUAUAUAGUGGUAGUAUGUCUUUAUCACCACAGUCUAGAUAAAAUUUAGAAACUGGAAACACUUCUGUCUAGCAGUCAUAAUUCUGUCUUCGUUUUUCUGGCACCAGCUUCGCUUGCUCUUUCUUUUGAUUCAUUCUGCAUUUUCUUCUCCAAAUAUUUUCUUUGACUGAGUACCUAUAGUACUAAUGCUUGGCAUGCCGAGU
rnacentral:lncRNA from 1 species